rnacentral:rRNA from 1 species
AGUGAACGCUGGCGGUAGGCCUAACACAUGCAAGUCGAACGGCAGCACAGUAAGAGCUUGCUCUUACGGGUGGCGAGUGGCGGACGAGUGAGGAAUACAUCGGAAUCUACUUUUUCGUGGGGGAUAACGUAGGGAAACUUACGCUAAUACCGCAUACGACCUACGGGGGAAAGCAGGGGAUCUUCGGACCUUGCGCGAUUGAAUGAGCCGAUGUCGGAGUAGCUAGUUGGCGGGGUAAAGGCCCACUAAGGCGACGAUCCGUAGCUGGUCUGAGAGAAUGAUCACCGACACUGGAACUGGGCCACGGUCCAGGGUCCUGCGGGAGGCAGCAGUGGGGAAUGUUGGACAGCGGGCGGAAGCCUGAUCCAGCCAUACCGCGUGGGUGAAGAAGGCCUUCGGGUUGUAAAGCCGUUUUGUUGGGAGAGAAAAGCAGCAGGUUAAUACCCCGCUGUUCUGACGGUAACCAAAGAAUAAGCACCGGCUAACUUCGUG